CUUCUAUAAACCAACUAACAAAUGUUGUUUUGUUGGGUAGUUCAUUGUAAUCCUACAAUAUGAUUUGCCUAAGCACAAAUGAACGAGAGAUAGAACUCAAAGAAUGGGUUCCUUGAGACAAGAUGAUAAUCAACAAAUAUAACAACCUAGUUCCUACACCACAAGCUCCAAGGUAGUCGAGAAAGAUUUAUAAACUGUCUCAGUUGAAUGGUUUGAACUUUAUGACUAUGUCAUAGAGUUACACCUCUUAAUUCGAAAGAAAUAAGAAUGAAAAUCCUUAUGACUACAUUGAGUGUAUAUACGACAUAUACUCAAGGAAAUGGUAAAGUACCAUUUGACCCGAAAUAAUGAAACCUUCAUAGCUAAUUGGUAGCUUAAGGUGACUACAAUCAAAGAGAAUGGUGAUUCAAUGUUUGGACAUAACAUGGGUUUCCGAAACCAUUAUUAAGAUAGUCUUGAUAAUAUAUGUCUGAAACUAUGAAUCACAAGACAUGUAAGUUGUAGAGAUCCAUCCAUCAUGAAUCUUAGCAAGCUAGUCGGAGCUAUAAGCAUCUUAUGAGAGAAAGAUCAUAUCGUUUGAUUUCUCAUAAAGAUGUAAAUGAAUCUUUUGUUUACUAGGUUUACAAAAGAUUAGUGGGAGUUAAUCAUGUUCCUAAAUUUGAAUAUAUAUAUACACACACACACACACACACACACAUAUAUGAUAUAUUAAUUUUGGAAAUGAAAUGAAUACUUCUUCAUUAAAGUUAUAACUUUAAACAUUCUAUAACAAUAAAAUGUAUAUGGGAGACAUAGUCUAUAAACAUGGGUUGGAAAUCUAUAAUGAUAGAUUUCAGGAUAUGAUGGGAUUAUAUCAAGCCCUAAUGAUAGACAAAAGAUGCUAGGAAGUUUCUCAUAUGAUGAUAAACUUCAAUCAGAUGACAACUCUAGUGAGACUAGGAAGUUGCUCUUCUCAAAGGGAACGUACCCUUUUGACUCCUAAAGAAACAUAAUGCAUAAAUAGAAUCCUUUAUGCAUACGCAGAAAGGUGAUUUACGUAUUUCAUAUUGUAUGAAAAACAUUGAUAUGAGUUGUACCUAGAACGGUACAAGACGAUAUCAGUGCAAGCCCAGGAUCAGAACCAUGGCAACUGUCAAGUGAGUCCUUAAGUAUUUAAGAAAUACUAAAGGAUAUAUUCCUCAAAGAAUGAGGAAGAAUUAGAGUAACGUAAUGGAAGCGUAAAUGUAUUAGAUUAUGAAUCUAAUCCAUCAUUGGAUGUUUCUUCAUUAUGAAUGAAGAGAUAAUCAGAUAUCUUUUUAUUAUGACUAAAGAGAUAUUUGGAUGAAAACAUUAAACGUAAUGACUUUAGUGUGUUCCAUUAUGAAUGCAAAAUAUAUAGCAUAUAGAAGCUUACAACUAUGUUGUUUGGAUAGGAAAUUUCAUUUAUGAACUCCCUAUUCGGUUCCAACCAGAAAGUGUCUCCAGUGUACCGACACUAUGACACUAAUGGGGCGAUAGCUCAAGCCAAGGAAUCAAGGUCUCAUCAUGAUUCGAACUCAAAUGAGAGACUAAACCACAUGAUUAAGAAUCAUGUAUAAUGGUGACGUCGUUAUUCUCAAGGUUGCUUCUAUGGAUAACAUAUAGAUAACCAUUGUCUAGGCCUACUACUCAACCAUUUUUUGAAAUGACUACAGAAGAGGUAUCAUCAUUGAUGAUCAUGCUAAUUGGCUCUAGUGUAAGUGGGAGAUUGUUGGAAAUGUGCCCUAAAACCAAUCAUAUGAUGAUACUUUACGGACAUCUCACACGUUAAACUAAUAUAGUUUAAUUUAAAGGGCAAAGAUUAUUGUUUGAAGCCAUCUCAUAUAAAUGUUAUACG
rnacentral:lncRNA from 1 species